GUGGGGGUAGGAGAAGCCUCCCUCUCCAUUGCUGAAGGGCCAUGCCUAAGAAAUUUCGGGGCCAGUGCGAAAGCUCAAUUAAGUCAAGCCCUACUUAUAUUUGGAAAAAGAAAUCAUGCGAGACAAACUGAAUAUUUCGAUAAAUCAUGCUCAUUGCUAUUAUAGCAGCAUGAGAAUAUCGAUCCGUCCUGGCGACCAUUUGUUUUGCUAUUCCUAAUGCAUUCCAAAAACCAGUUUGUAUAUAGACACCUAUUGGAAAAAGACACAACCCUGCUGCAAACCUACUAUAUAUAGUACUCCCUCUGUCCCAAAAUGAGUGACGCAAAUUUAGUACUGAUCGAGUUAGUAUACUAAAGCAGCGACACUUAUCUUGGGAUGGAGGGAGUAGUAUAGUAUUUUCAAUAUGAAGCUUAAAGAGCAGCAUAAUUACGAUGGUCAUGUUCUUUGUUGUUUGACCAAGUGGUUACUAUAAUGUUGGGUUCUCUGAUUCUCAUUUUCAUGGUGCAGAGCAAGUCUCUGAAUGGAACAAUAAUUUUUUUUAAUGAUUUUUGUAGCUUGUGUGGCUUCUGCUGAUUGAAUUAUGAUGCCUCUAACUAAAGUAAACCUGAGCAGCAACCAUGGCACAAAUCUUUCACACAUUCCAUUCCACUCCAUACAUCUUGAGCACAAGUGACAACACAUAGACAGACUAACGGCAUGAACCAAGUGUAGAAAUGACUAGAAUGUGAAAGCAGAGUGUCUCAGAGUUACUGAAGCGCAGGCAGCGAGUAAUUAACCGAAACAAGAGUUACUGAAGCUUACCAGGGUCUGCAAAAGAAUGGUGGUGAAGAACACACACGCAAGUCGAGCGAGCCUGCAAUCAAUCAAUCAAUCAGGCAACAUUGAUUCUGUGAGUGAAAGCAAGACAGAAAACAAAACAGUCGUCGAGUGGUUACUUAAAUGAAGCUGACAAACAAUCGGUUAAUGGACGAUGGACUUACACUGUGAGCAGGGCACACAUCAGCAUCACCAUCCACGCAGCAGCAGCAGCACGAAGGAGAAGGACCAAGACCAACACAUACACACACACAUGCAAACAAGUCAGUCACCUUCCAAGGGGCCGGGAGGGGAGAGGUAGGCAGCUAGCUAGGAGUCCCUCACCUUCCAUGGCCAUGGCCAUCGCCAUCGUCGUCCUCGUCCUCCUCCUCUCGGCUUCUCGAUGGGCGUCGUCUCCUCCUGCACCGGAGGAGAGUGACAGAGAUAGACGGAGGAGGAGGGGAGGGAGUUGUUGAGCUGUUUCUGUCCGCUCCAAAAAUAUCUAUCCGCUUUCCCUAAAAAGGAUCACGUUGAGAUCUGUCUUUCCCUUAGAAAAAUAGUGGUAGGGUCUUUG
rnacentral:lncRNA from 1 species